rnacentral:rRNA from 1 species
CUGCUGCCUUCCGUAGGAGUUUGGGCCGUGUCUCAGUCCCAAUGUGGCCGUCCACCCUCUCAGGCCGGCUACUGAUCGCCGCCUUGGUGGGCCGUUACCCCGCCAACUAGCUAAUCAGACGCGGAUCCAUCGUAUACCACCGGAGUUUUUCACACUGCCCCACGCGGAGCCGUGCGCUUAUGCGGUAUUAGCACCUAUUUCUAAGUGUUAUCCCCCGGUAUACGGCAGGUUAUCCACGCGUUACUCACCCGUCCGCCACUAACU